GACGAACGCUGGCGGCGUGCCUAAUACAUGCAAGUAGAACGCUGAAGGAGGAGCUUGCUUCUCUGGAUGAGUUGCGAACGGGUGAGUAACGCGUAGGUAACCUGCCUGGUAGCGGGGGAUAACUAUUGGAAACGAUAGCUAAUACCGCAUAAGAGUAGAUGUUGCAUGACAUUUGCUUAAAAGGUGCAAUUGCAUCACUACCAGAUGGACCUGCGUUGUAUUAGCUAGUUGGUGGGGUAACGGCUCACCAAGGCGACGAUACAUAGCCGACCUGAGAGGGUGAUCGGCCACACUGGGACUGAGACACGGCCCAGACUCCUACGGGAGGCAGCAGUAGGGAAUCUUCGGCAAUGGACGGAAGUCUGACCGAGCAACGCCGCGUGAGUGAAGAAGGGUGUCGGAUCGUAAAGCUCUGUUGUAAGAGAAGAACGAGUGUGAGAGUGGAAAGUGCACACUGUGACGGUAGCUUACCAGAAAGGGACGGCUAACUACGUG
rnacentral:rRNA from 1 species